rnacentral:rRNA from 1 species
AAUCAACGCUGGCGGCGUGCCUCAGACAUGCAAGUCGAACGAGAAAGUUUCCUUCGGGAGACGAGUACAGUGGCGUCCGGGUGAGUAACACGUGGGUAAUUUACCUUUGGGUGGGGAAUAGCAGCCGGAAACGGCUAUUAAUACCGCAUAAUGCAGCGGCUCGACAUCGAGACAGUUGUUAAAGCGGGGAUCUGACAAGGACCUCGCGCCUAAAGAGAAGCCUGCGUCAGAUAGCUAGUUGGUAGGGUAAUGGCCCACCAAGGCUGUGAUCUGUAGCCGGCCUGAGAGGGCGGUCGGCCACACUGACACUGACAC